AUUGAACGCUGGCGGCAGGCCUAACACAUGCAAGUCGAACGAGUAGCGGACGGGUGAGUAAUGUCUGGGAACCUGCCUGAUGGAGGGGGAUAACUACUGGAAACGGUAGAUAAUACCGCAUAACAUCAUAUGGGCACAGAUGGGAUUAGCUAGUUGGUGGGGUAACGGCUCUCCAAGGCGACGAUCCGUAGCUGGUCUGAGAGGAUGACCAGCCACACUGGAACUGAGACACGGUCCAGACUCCUACGGGAGGCAGCAGUGGGGAAUAUUGCACAAUGGGCGCAAGCCUGAUCCAGCCAUGCCGCGUGUAUGAAGAAGGCCUUCGGGUUGUAAAGUACUUUCAGCGGGGAGGCGUUACCCGCAGAAGAAGCACCGGCUAACUCCGUGCCAGCAGCCGCGGUAAUAC
rnacentral:rRNA from 1 species